UGGGGAAUUUUGGACAAUGGGGGAAACCCUGAUCCAGCCAUCCCGCGUGUGCGAUGAAGGCCUUCGGGUUGUAAAGCACUUUUGGCAGGAAAGAAACGUCGCGGGUUAAUACCCCGCGAAACUGACGGUACCUGCAGAAUAAGCACCGGCUAACUACGUGCCAGCAGCCGCGGUAAUACGUAGGGUGCAAGCGUUAAUCGGAAUUACUGGGCGUAAAGCGUGCGCAGGCGGUUCGGAAAGAAAGAUGUGAAAUCCCAGAGCUUAACUUUGGAACUGCAUUUUUAACUACCGGGCUAGAGUGUGUCAGAGGGAGGUGGAAUUCCGCGUGUAGCAGUGAAAUGCGUAGAUAUGCGGAGGAACACCGAUGGCGAAGGCAGCCUCCUGGGAUAACACUGACGCUCAUGCACGAAAGCGUGGGGAGCAAACAGGAUUAGAUACCCUGGUAGUCCACGCCCUAAAACGAUGUCAACUAGCUGUUGGGGCCUUCGGGCCUUGGUAGCGCAGCUAACGCGUGAAGUUGACCGCCUGGGGAGUACGGUCG
rnacentral:rRNA from 1 species